ACCAAACGUGCUGUCAACACGUCGGCUCGAAAAAUAACUCCCGGCGUUUCAAGAGAAAAUCAAGUGCUUCAAGAUUCAGGACCUUCCUUCGACGAAAUGAAUAUCGUCGUAGAUGUUCACUGGCCGCAAAAAAUAGCACCUAACUUCUAUCGAGUGUCCGGCUAUCAGUACUCGACGUUACAUUUGGCAUGACUGCGUUUUCUUUUCAUCCAAGCUGUUAGCUGUUACUAAGAUCACAUCCGACGGCGACAGGAGAUAGAAAUUUCACGACGAAAUCCCGUCGGAACGCCGAACAACUUAUGAAACCAACAAGAAAUUGGCCGCCACCAUCCCGAAACGCAACUCUGAUUUUAAAAAGAUGUAAACAGUAUAGGAAGUAGGCCGAAUAAUGAUUAAUGAUUAAAAUGAUAAUAAAAUAGAA